AUCGAACGCUGGCGGCAUGCCUUACACAUGCAAGUCGAACGGUAACAGUUCUUCGGAUGCUGACGAGUGGCGAACGGGUGAGUAAUACAUCGGAACGUGCCCGAGAGUGGGGGAUAACGAGGCGAAAGCUUUGCUAAUACCGCAUACGAUCUCAGGAUGAAAGCAGGGGACCGCAAGGCCUUGCGCUCACGGAGCGGCCGAUGGCAGAUUAGGUAGUUGGUGGGAUAAAAGCUUACCAAGCCGACGAUCUGUAGCUGGUCUGAGAGGACGACCAGCGAGACUGGGACUGGGACACGGCCCAGACUCCUACGGGAGGCAGCAGUGUGGAAUUUUGGGCAAUGGGCGCAAGCCUGAUCCAGCCAUGCCGCGUGCAGGAUGAAGGCCUUCGGGUUGUAAACUGCUAUUGUACGGAACGAAAAGACUCUGGUUGAUACCUGGGGUCCAUGACGGUACCGUAAGAGUAAGCACCGGCUAACUACGUGCCAGCAGCCGCAGUAAAAC
rnacentral:rRNA from 1 species